UGGCGGACGGGUGAGUAAUGUCUGGGAAACUGCCUGAUGGAGGGGGAUAACUACUGGAAACGGUAGCUAAUACCGCAUAACGUCGCAAGACCAAAGAGGGGGACCUUCGGGCCUCUUGCCAUCGGAUGUGCCCAGAUGGGAUUAGCUAGUAGGUGGGGUAACGGCUCACCUAGGCGACGAUCCCUAGCUGGUCUGAGAGGAUGACCAGCCACACUGGAACUGAGACACGGUCCGG
rnacentral:rRNA from 1 species